rnacentral:tRNA from 1 species
UUUAGGGAGACCCGAAUCAGUUCAAAACUCAAGAUUCUUUUCAUAGAAUUUUGAAUUGAUAAUAUUGAAUUGGUUUUAUCCCGAGGUCGGUCGCAAUCUUAAGGAAAGCUUUCAAACUAUAAACAGGGUUCGAUAAUGGGCUAUUAGCUCAGGUGGUUAGAGCGCACCCCUGAUAAGGGUGAGGUCCCUGGUUCGAGUCCAGGAUGGCCCACCUGAAGACAGUGAACAGUCAACAGCGAACAGUGAACAGUAAAAAACUGGUAGCUGGUAACUGGGAACUGAAAACUGACUUAGGGGGGUUUAGCUCAGUUGGUAGAGCGCCUGCUUUGCAAGCAGGAUGUCAGCGGUUCGAGUCCGCUAACCUCCACCUACUCCAACUGAAGAAGAAUUGCCACAAAAAAAGUAAGAAAACACUUUGGUGUGGCGAAACGAGUAUGAUAGAAUGAGAAAAUGUGGAUGAAUUCAGCAACAUGACAUUGGUCAGACUGCUGGAAGUAAUCCAGCCAGAACCUUGAAAACUGCAUAGUAACGCGAAGCAGGUAGACACAGACAUUGUAGGAAAUCAUGACAUGAGUGCAUGACAUGAAAUCAGAAAUGAAAGUGUUUGCUGAAAAGAUAUCACCAAUUGUGAAGU